AACGCAUAUUGCACCCGGCGGGUGGUUCCCCCACCUAGGUCGGGUCUGCCUGGCUGAGUAUCAGUACGGACCCAAGGAAUAAUAGUAUUCUUUGGUGAUCGUCUUAAAGGCGGAUAUGAGUGAUCCGGUAUAUAUCUAUGUUACUGGUCACUUGAAAUGAACAACCGAGUCGUCGUGUUGUGUCGUCGUCAUUCACACGGCAAUCUUUGUGAUCGUCCCAGUUGGGAUGUCCUUUUUGCCGUUUGACACGACUCUUACAACGAAUCUCGUUCCAUGUGCAGAGGAUAUUCUUCUUCUUCUUCCACCCUUGAUCUCAGAUUAGGCAGGAUGACCCGCUGAACUUAA
rnacentral:misc_RNA from 1 species